GUGAAAACCCCCCAUAAGCUUGGUCAACCUCGUACCCAGGGCCUGCCCGCCCUAUAAAAUCAGGCGGGUAAUCCCUGGGUACGAGGUUGAAGCUUAGCCCCAUUCUUUCUGGAGAUAUGCCAUGCCACCUUAUCUACCUACCUUACAUAAUUUGUAAUAUGUUUAGUUGUUCAUAUUUGUUAAAGAUUUCUGUUAAAAUAAAG
rnacentral:lncRNA from 1 species